rnacentral:rRNA from 1 species
GCUCCUCUGAUUCAGCGGCGGACGGGUGAGUAACACGUGGGCAACCUGCCUGUAAGACUGGGAUAACUUCGGGAAACCGGAGCUAAUACCGGAUAACUCACGAGACUACAUGGUCUUAUGAUAAAAGAUGGUUUCGGCUAUCACUUACAGAUGGGCCCGCGGCGCAUUAGCUAGUUGGUGAGGUAACGGCUCACCAAGGCGACGAUGCGUAGCCGACCUGAGAGGGUGAUCGGCCACACUGGGACUGAGACACGGCCCAGACUCCUACGGGAGGCAGCAGUAGGGAAUCUUCCGCAAUGGACGAAAGUCUGACGGAGCAACGCCGCGUGAGCGAUGAAGGCCUUCGGGUCGUAAAGCUCUGUUGUUAGGGAAGAACAAGUAUCAGUUAACUACUGGUACCUUGACGGUACCUAACGAGAAAGCCACGGCUAACUACGUGCCAGCAGCCGCGGUAAUACGUAGGUGGCAAGCGUUGUCCGGAUUUAUUGGGCGUAAAGCGCGCGCAGGCGGUUCUUUAAGUCUGAUGUGAAAGCCCCCGGCUCAACCGGGGAGGGUCAUUGGAAACUGGGGAACUUGAGUGCAGAAGAGAAGAGCGGAAUUCCACGUGUAGCGGUGAAAUGCGUAGAGAUGUGGAGGAACACCAGUGGCGAAGGCGGCUCUUUGGUCUGUAACUGACGCUGAGGCGCGAAAGCGUGGGGAGCAAACAGGAUUAGAUACCCUGGUAGUCCACGCCGUAAACGAUGAGUGCUAAGUGUUGGAGGGUUUCCGCCCUUCAGUGCUGCAGCUAACGCAUUAAGCACU